UACGGGGGGGGCAAGCGUUGUUCGGAAUUACUGGGCGUAAAGGGUGCGUAGGCGGCUUUCUAAGUCGGAUGUGAAAACUCUGGGCUCAACCCAGAGCCUGCAUCUGAAACUGGAGAGCUAGGGUUUGGAGGGGAAAGCGGGAAUUCCAGGUGUAGCGGUGAAAUGCGUAGAUAUCUGGAGGAACACCGGUGGCGAAGGCGGCUUUCUGGACAAAUACCGACGCUGAGGCACGAAAGCUAGGGGAGCAAACAGG
rnacentral:rRNA from 1 species